GCCUACCGCCAUCAGACUCUCCCCUAGUCUUCAAUUGUUUAAGAAGUGCCUUAAAACCCAUCUCUUUAGGAAAGCUUAUGGCCUCCCAGAGUAACCUCUACCUCACAUACCUGUCUCUUGCUCUCUUCUAAAGGGCAUCACUCUACUCUCUCCUCCAGCUCUGCUUCACUCCCACCUUAUUUGAUUGCUAUUUCCUGUCCAAAUGUGUUUUAUACCCC